GGAACUUGUUAUAAACAUCGAAAACACACACAUUGCUACUUUAGUGACGGUUAAAAGUCGCCUUUUAAAGGCUUGAAAGCGUGUCUUAAGUUCCUCGAGAGUGUGGCAAAAAUAUACUUGUCAUUCAAAAGUUGGCAUCCCGGAAAGACACAUUUUAUAGUCCACUAACACGAGUUAGGUGGCACUUAAAUGUGAUAAACUUUGCUCCAAAGCAGUAGAAAGUAAGGACGGCUUUAUAUUCUAGCGCUAAAGUGAUGUGUAAGCAAGUGUUGCUGCCCUAAAAGGUGGAUUUGUCUCAGGAGAGCUCGGCACGUCACGUGACUAAAAUUGGCCAAUUCAACAUGUCCGAAAAGGAGCAGGAAGACGCUUAUUGACUAAUUUUCUUCAUAUCUACCACUGAUAAUUUAACAACAGUGUGUAUUUUAAAUGUUGACGUUCAUAUUAAUAUUUCCUUUGCUUGCGUUUUGGUCAUAUUUUGUCAGUGGCAAUUUUAAUAAAUGAGUUUUGGGAAUGUGCAGUGAAUGUAAUGCUGCGUGCUGCCAGCAGAUAGCAGUCAAGUAUGUGCAAACAGGUACUUUAAAAGAGUGGUUCUCAAAUGGGGGUACUUGAAGUUAUGCCAAAGGGUACGUAAAUUAAAAAAAAAAAAAUUCUAAAAAUAGCAACAAUUCAAAAAUCCUUAAUGAAUAUAUUUAUUGAAUAAUACUUCAACAAAAUAUGAAUUUAAGUUCAUAAACUGAAAAUAAAUGCAACAAUGCCAUAUUCAGUGUUGACAGCUAGAUUUUUUUGUGGACAUGUUCCAUAAAUAUUGAUGUUAAAGAUUUCUUUUUUUUUGUGAAGAAAUGUUUAGAAUUAAGUUCAUGAAUCCAGAUGGAUCUCUAUUACAAUCCCGAAAGAGGGCACUUUAAGUUGAUGAUUUCUUCUAUGUGUAGAAUUCUUUAUUUAUAAUUGAAUCACUUGUUUAUUUUUCAACAAGUUUUUAGUUAUUUUUACAUAUUUUUUUCCAAAUAGUUUAAGAAAGACCACUACAAAUGAGCAAUAUUUUGCAUUGUUAUACAAUUUAAUAAAUCAGAAACUGAUGACAUAGUGCUUUAUUUUACUUCUUUAUCUCUUUUUUUCAAACAAAAAUUAUUUGCUCUGAUUAGAGGGUACUUGAAUUAAAAAAAUGUUCAUAGGGGGUACAUCACUGAAAAAAGGUUGAGAACCAGUGGCCUACUAAAAUUAGAUUUUCUUAUUUAAAGGCCUACUGAAACCCACUACUACCCACCACGCAAUCUGAUAGUUUAUAUAUCAAUGAUGAAAUAUUAACAUUGCAACACAUGCCAAUACGGCCUUUUUAGUUUACUAAGUUGCAAUUUUAAAUUUCCCGGGAGUUUCUUCUUGAAAACAUCGCGUAAUGAUGACAUGUACGCGUGACGUCACGGACUGUUAGGGAAUAUGAGCGCUAAUUACACAGUAUUUUGGGGAUCUGUGUUGCUGAAUCUUUUGCAAUUUUUUCAAUUAAUAUUGGAGAAGUCACAGUAGAAAGAUGGAGUUGGGAAGCUUUAGCCUUUAGCCACACAAACACACUGUGAUUCUUUGUUUAAAAUUCCUGGAGGUGAAACUUUCCUAUGGAUCACAGCGCGGUCAAGCGGACAUGGAUCCCGACCACAUGUCAACCAGCAGGUUUCGCUGCCGUCGACUCCCCUGAGACAUUGCGCGUCAACACACCCGUGGAGACACCCUUCUGAGUAUCAGGUAAUAUUAAACUUACUAAUAAACUAGCAAAACAAUAGAAAGAUAAAGGAUUUCCCAGAAUUAACCUAGUAAAUGUGUCUUAAAAACAUCGGAAUCCGUCCCAAUGCAAUCACGUUUUUUUUUUUUUAACUUUUUAUUUUCUAGUCCGUCGCUAUCAAUAUCCUCGAAUCUUACAUCCUUGCUCAAAUUAAUGGGGAAAUUGUCGAUGUCUCGGUCCGAAUAGCUGUUUUUGUUGGACGCUCCCAUUAAAAACAAUGUGAAGAUGUGAGGAGCCAUCAACAUGUGACAUCAUCGUCUGCGACUUCCGGUAGAGGCAGGGCUUUUUUGUCAGCACCGAAAGUUGCGAAAUUUAUCGUGGAUGUUCUCUACUAAAUCCUUUCAGCAAAAAUAUGGCAAUAUCGCGAAAUGAUCAAGUAUGAUACAUAGAAUGGACCUGCUAUCCCCGUUUAAAUAAGAAAAUAUCAUUUCAGUAGGCCUUUAAACGGGGAUAGCAGUUCCAUUCUAUGUGUCAUACUUGAUCAUUUCCCGAUAUUGCCAUAUUUUUGCUGAAAGGAUUUAGUAGAGAACAUCAAUGAUAAAGUUCACAACUUUUGGUCGCUAAUAAAAAAGCCUUAGUUGCAGGCGAUGUGCGUGUGACGUCACGGGUAGUAGAGCGCCUCACAUCCUCACAUUGUUUACAAUCAUCUCUAGGUUGUCCUCGGACAAGCCUUCCAUCGUUGCUUCCAGUCAUCCUGAUUCUCCAUACAUAGAAGUAGAAGCAUUUAAGUCUCACCUUAAAACUCAUUUGUAUACUCUAGCCUUUAAAUAGACUCCCUUUUUAGACCAGUUGAUCUGCCGUUUCUUUUCUUUUUCUUCUAUGUCCCACUCUCCCGUGUGGAGGGGGUCCGGUCCGAUCCGGUGGCCAUGUACUGCUCGCCUGUGUAUCGGCUGGGGACAUCUCUGCACUGCUGGUCCGCCUACGCUUGGGAUGGUUUCCUGCUGGCUCCGCUGUGAACGGGACUCUCGCUGCUGUGUCUUGGAUCCUCUUUGGACUGGACUCUCGCGACUGUGUUGUAUCCAUUGUGGAUUGAACUUUCACAGUAUCAUGUUAGACCCGCUCGACAUCCAUUGCUUUCCUCCUCUCUAAGGUUCUCAUAGUCAUCAUUGUCACUGACGUCCCACUGGGUCAUUAUUGUCACCAAUGUUCCACUGGGUGUGAGUUUUCCUUGCCCUUAUGUGGGCCUACCGAGGAUGUCGUGGUGGUUUGUGCAGCCUUUUGAGACACUAGUGAUUUAGGGCUAUAUAAGUAAACAUUGAUUGAUUGAUGAUGACAUUUGUCCAGUUCUUUGGUACUCUGAGAAAUAAUCUGAGCGCUCACACUGGUUAUCGAGCCACAAAAGACUGAGGCAACCUUAAGCACUUUGAAUGUUAUUUAAAAAAAAAAAAAAACACUAUGUAUCAGAUACUGUUGGGGCUGGGCGAUAUGGCCUUUUAUUAAUAUCUCGAUAUUUUUGUGCCAUGUCACGAUACACGAUAUAUAUUGUGAUAUUUUGCCUUGGCUUUGGAUGAACACUUGAUGCAUAUAAUCACAGCAGUAUGAUGAUUCUAUGUGUCUACAUUAAAACAUUCUUCUUCGUA